GCCCGUCUAGCUCAACGGGGUAGAGCAUCAGAGACAUAAACGGAUUCUCUCCCCGUGGGGAGACCGGUUGCUGUUGAAGAGCUGGUCUUCCCACGGAGGGAGAAUGUCUCUUCUGAGGAUGCGAGUUCGAGGCUCGCGACGGGCG